AACAUCCCAUCGAUCUCUUUAGUAUUAAGAAAACAAAAAGGAAGAGUAUAAGCUUUUGUAAAAUAAUGACGAUCGAUAGAGAGAGUUGAUAAACCACCAAUUACACAAUCAACAGAAGAUUUAACACAGCAAACAGGCUAGGGGAGUUAAUUGAAGAGUAUGAACAAAAAUGGCCCAAGGCAUAAAGAUAUAUUUUUCAAUAUACUGAAUGACUCAAAAAAUACAGAGCCAUUAACAACUUCAAAUGGUUCUCAUGCAAACAGGAAAACCCCUAAAAAGUCAAUAAGAAAGAAAAAUCAAUACAGUAUUUGGCAAAUAAAUAAACUAGAAAUAUGAAAAAUCAAUACAAAUAAAUAAACUAGAAAUAUGAACAUCCCAUUGAUCUCUUUAGUAUCAAGAAAACAAAAAGGAAGAAGAGCAUAAGCAUUUAUGAAAAUAAUGUCCAUCGACGGACAGAGUUGAUAAACCACCAAUUACACAAUCCAAGAAAACAAGAUGCAUAAGCAUUUAUGAAAAUAAUGUCGUUAAUUACAGAACCACGAUUUUACAAAACGAUUGAACACAAUGAACAAGAUGAACAGCACCUCAAAAUCAACAAAAGAUUGAACACAACAAACCGGCUAGGGGAGUUAAUUGAAGGGCAUGAACAAAAAUGGAAGCAAAACAAAUACAAUGAGACAAAACCCUAAUUUGAUACCGCAGCACGAAGAACGCCGAUUGAGAUUGAGAUUGAGA
rnacentral:lncRNA from 1 species